UGAGAAAGAUUUGAUUUACUCAAAGAAGUAAUUAAAUCUGGCGGCCUACUGCUAAUCAAGGUAGCAUUCAGCACUAUGAGCUGGAAAGUUCUUUCUCCCCUCUUUGUAAAUGCCUAAACCCUGGGCACCUUAUUAUUCAAGUUUCUAAUUAAAAAAAGAAAAAGAAAAAAAAAGGGGGGGAACAGGAGCAGUUCAAUCACCUGCAGCAAUUCAUCUUGCUCACAGCCUAAUGAAAGAUCGCAGGGUCUCGAAGAUGCUCCCCCCACACAAACGCCAGUCACCACCAGGCUCCACAGCCAGUCAACCGGGAGUCCUGUGUCCUUUACCUCUUGCCGACUCAACUGUCACACUGCAUCGUUGCUGCUAAACUGCACAGAAGGGCCGCUCCGAAUCAGGGUGACCUUAUUUUCAUUUGGAGAGAGGCAUGAAAUUCUAUCAGUGUGACAACCAAGGAAGGAGUUGGAUUCCUCGCCGACGACCUUGUCUUGAAGCUUAGUCUUUAAGUUCCUGUGACCUGUACGUUCAGCGAUGCAGCCAAGCUGAUGUUGGCUUCCUUCAAGGCGAUUCGGCACAGCAUCAGGCUUACCUCAUGUUUCGCUGAAAAACUGGUUCUGAAAAGCAGCCUCAAGAUGACAUUCUGGGAUGGAGACCGAUGUGCUGUGCAGCACGGGAGGCAGGAACAGGGAAAGGUGGCCAAGCGGUGUUAAUGCAAAUGUGUUCCCGGGCUUACAUGCUGGCACACCAAGUGGACACCCAGCCAUCUGAAUCCGGGCCAGUGAAUUUGGCACAUCUUCGGCUGGCAGAGCAGAAGUCCAGCGCAGCAUCCUGCUGCCGUUGGCAUGCAUACAGCUGUCGUUCUUCAUCUGGCUCCCUCUGCCACCGCGGACACUCAACAGGUGCUGCCAGGGACACAGUGUGUUUGGCAGCUGUCAACUUUCAAUAAUCAUCUCUGUAGCAGAUCCCACUCAGUUUUCCCAUCCCACUUCUCCCCCUCCACACCCUUUCCCAAACCCCAGCACCAUUUGGACCAUUGCAGAAUGCAGUUAGGUAAGGACGCUGUUGAAGGCCCGAGGUCAUCUGGAGACAGAGCCUGCUGGGCCACAGCCCGGUUGCGCCUUCUACUGCUACAAGCUACAGCUCUUUUGGGUUGAUUCAGCCAUCUUUCCUUAUUCCUCUUUCUAGGUCAAUUGAAUUUAGGUUUUAUUUUAUUGGGAUGUGGGUAAAGGUUUAUUUUGCCUGAUUUAAUUUCACACUGUCGCGUUACCACCCG